AACAACAACAACAACAAAAGACAAAAGACAAAACAAACAAACAAACAAACAAAAAAACCCACGGUGUUAGAAAGUCCAAGGAACGGGAAUACACUAAGACAGAAGGAAGCGAUGCCAACAGCUUUGGGAGGAUUGCGGCGCAGUGGGGACGGUCUGGAGUCAGGGCUGGCAUUUUCUAGCUUUGUGAUGUUGCCCCGAAUUCGGACGUGGUAGAGGCGCUACUUUGCCAGCUGUAACAUGGGGAUAACACUUCCUUAUACGGUUGUGGUGGUGAAGUCACUGAGCACGGAGUUGGCACAUAGUAACCACAGUAGGCAGUGAAGAGUAGGAAUGUAGGUGCAGUAGGUAUACUUGCAAUAAACCACAGAGAUUCAAGGAGCAAACUACGCAUAGGGUCCUUACAAAUCUCCAAGCAUAUAAGGAUCCUAAAAAACGGUCAAAAGUGGUCACAGCCUACGGAGGUGGUAGUAACAGUUAAUGAAUGAAUUCAAUGACUACUACAGAUAAAAAAAAAUCCCUUCCUCAUUAAACUCACUAGUAAAGAAGUAAAAGGUAAUGCAAAUCUCGGUUGCCAUUAUAAUAAUGGAGACGCUGGUGAAACCACGGUGAACUAGGAAUAUCCGGGAAUUCCUGGUAGAAGUGUGUUUAUUAUUUUGGAAGAGAAUUUGGUAAAUAUUAUCAAGAGCCGUAACAUUCUACAUUUUGAUCUCCUGAUUCUGUUCUUGGCAAUGAACUAACUCAAGUUAGGAGGAAGCUAUACUUAUAACAAGGCAUGUAGCUAAGAUUAUAAGAAUAAAAAAAUCUAAUAAUACAGCAGUAGUCACUUUGUCAUAGAAUAGUAGCUCUAUGAGAUAUUAUAUGGUGAUUAAAAAUAGCAGAGGGUAUACAAAAUGGAGUACAUAUAAAAUGAUGUCCAGUAGGAUACAAUGUAUUGAAGUAACUAGAAGUAUUGAAAAAAAUCAUAUAUAAAUAUAUAUGGAUACAGAUGAAAGGAUGCUGUGAAGAAAUGCAAUUCAUUUAUAUUGGUAGAGGGUUUUGGAUAUAAUUAUAUGUGUAUUAUUUUAUUAAUAAAUAUGGUAAAAUAACUCUAUUAUGAAGCAAUAACUCCUCGUGAUUCAUUUUAUGGAGUGACCAAUAUUAGGUAUAAAAUCCAAUUCAGGGACUCCCAGUAAAGGCACAAACAAGCUCUGAGGGGCAUUUCCUGGCUCAGUUGAGAAAUACCGUUGACAACACACCUGAAAACGUCUCUCUAAAGAAAACUUUACUUCUUAAGGUUGGAGUUUGGUUCCCUGACGCUCUUUCAUAUUAUUAUAAGCACUCUGACAUUUAAUUUGGGAAAUCAUUCUCUAUUAGAUGUGAAAACAGCUUCAAAAGUCACUUACGAAAGUAGCAGAUAACUAAAAGAAUAUUAUACAUGAUGGCACCAACCAAACAGAAAUGUUUGGUCAUUCACCGGUUCUGUAGUUUUUGAGGAACCCUCCGAGUUUUAUAAAUGACAAAAACACUUUGUCAAAGCCUCAGAUCAGGCCCUACGUGUGCAUGUGAAGAGGAGCUAUUUCUGUCUCUGGGCUCCAGUUACACAGCCCGAGCUGGGCGCUUUGUUCUCAGAACUCACGCUGUCAUCAAAAGGGACUCCGUACAAAUAGAGCAGUGGGCCCGCAGUGGCUGAGCCGUAACCACAGCUGCAAACCCUCCGUCAUGUGAACUCGCCGGGCUUUUUCUGGGUCUGGAAUGCCUGCUGGCCACGCCUUCCCUGCCUGGCCUCAGCCUGCACCCCCGUCCAUUCUUACAUCCACUCCGCUCCCCCACGUGGCCCAGGCCGCCUCCCUCCCUCUGGCCUCCGGAGCAGCUGUUUUCACGCCGCCUGUGGUCGUCGUCGUAGGGCCGGUCCUGUGGGUCCCCUCCCAGCAGGAUCCGUGCCUGUCCAGGGGAGAACCGUGGGUGUCUACCUCGUGGUGACAUGGUGUCUGGCCCGUGGGCCCUGGAGGAACCUUAGUGUGUGGUCUUUGGAGGGACUAGAAGGGUCCAUGAGGUCCCUGAAAUCGUGGGCAGCUUGUGUGCACAGGCAGAUGGCGAGGUUGAGGCCUCCCAGCAGGGGUUUCUCGAUUCCUUUGUCCCUUUAAGCCCCCUGGGGGUUGAGCCGGUCCCGGAGGCCUCUUUCCCCUCCAUGGCCAGUGACUGGUUUAGGCGCUGGCCAGCGACUCUCAGACCCAUGGGGCCGAGGGCAAGAUGGUGGGAAACUGGGGGACAGGGCGUUUUCACGGGUGGGGGAGGCCAGAGGCGGCCGGCCCUCUUCAUCCAGUCCCGGGCCCUUUGGGGACCACAGGCCACUGAUAGGACAGAAGCAGAGUGGGAAGUGCAUGUGUUUGGGGGGGCACUGGAGCCUCAGGUGUGACCGAGCAUGGCCUCCACCAGCCCUGACUGGUUCACUCGGCGUGUCAUGUGAUACCGCACACACACUGUUUCUGGAGGAGUUUUCAUUGCAUUUCCUCUAUUUUUGUAGCCGAUGCAUCUGACAGGAAGUCGUAGUUUUCAUUAGCUGAAGAAAAGGAUCUGCCUCCCCUCCCCUGCCAGGGUUCAGGAUCUCUCUAGAAGGCGCUCAGAGGAUGUAGACUGACUCACUGACUGACAGACUGACACGGCUCCGUGUAACCCAGAUGUUGCAUCACCUCCCUUUGGCUGCAGCACUGAAGUACCACGACCGGGGUGCUUAAACAACACAAUUUGCUUUCUCGGGGUGCUGCGCGCAGAAGUUGGAGACACGGUGCGGGCUGCGCUGCUUCCCGCUGAGGCCGCGCUCUCCCAGUCCCCCCCUGGCUUGUGAGAUGACGGCUUCAAUCUCCGCCUUCAUCGGAGCUGGCAUGCUCCGCGUGUGUUCACAUUUCCCCUUUUUAUGAGGACAGCAGGGAUACCGGCUCAGGGCCAGGCUACUCCAGGAUGACUCAUCUUAACUGAUUACAUGGGCAAGGACCCUAUUUCCCAAUAAAGUCACAGUGAAUUUUGGGGGGGAACACAAUUCAACCCACAAUAGAUGGAGUGGUACAUAUGCAUGGUGCAAAUCUAGAAAAUAGAAGCAAGCACAAAAGAAGAAGAAACCCUUUUAUCACUGAGUGAUCCUGGCUGUGAAUAUCUUAGAGGCCCGAAAAAAAAAAUCUUAAAAUUAGACAAAAUGAGUGUAUUGUUUCAUAUCUUUAUUCAAUGAUCUCUACCUUUCUACUUCACUAAAUUUCUUCUCAUCAAUA